UACGGAGGGGGCUAGCGUUGUUCGGAAUUACUGGGCGUAAAGCGCGCGUAGGCGGACCUGCAAGUCGGGGGUGAAAGCCCGAGGCUCAACCUCGGGAACUGCCUUCGACUACUGCGGGUCUCGAGUCCGGGAGAGGUGAGUGGAAUUCCGUAGUGUAGAGGUGAAAUUCGUAGAUAUUAGGAAGAACACCAGUGGCGAAGGCGGCUCACUGGCCCGGUA
rnacentral:rRNA from 1 species